rnacentral:rRNA from 1 species
GAUGAACGCUGGCGGCGUGCCUAAUACAUGCAAGUCGAGCGAACGGACGAGAAGCUUGCUUCUCUGAUGUUAGCGGCGGACGGGUGAGUAACACGUGGAUAACCUACCUAUAAGACUGGGAUAACUUCGGGAAACCGGAGCUAAUACCGGAUAAUAUUUUGAACCGCAUGGUUCAAAAGUGAAAGACGGACUUGCUGUCACUUAUAGAUGGAUCCGCGCUGCAUUAGCUAGUUGGUAAGGUAACGGCUUACCAAGGCAACGAUGCAUAGCCGACCUGAGAGGGUGAUCGGCCACACUGGAACUGAGACACGGUCCAGACUCCUACGGGAGGCAGCAGUAGGGAAUCUUCCGCAAUGGGCGAAAGCCUGACGGAGCAACGCCGCGUGAGUGAUGAAGGUCUUCGGAUCGUAAAACUCUGCUAUUAGGGAAGAACAUAUGUGUAAGUAACUGUGCACAUCUUGACGGUACCUAAUCAGAAAGCCACGGCUAACUACGUG